GAUGAACGCUGACAGAAUGCUUAACACAUGCAAGUCAACUUGAACUUCGGUUUGGGUGGCGGACGGGUGAGUAACGCGUAAAGAACUUGCCUCACAGCUAGGGACAACAUUUGGAAACGAAUGCUAAUACUUGAUAUUAUGAUUUUAGGGCAUCCUAGAAUUAUGAAAGCUAUAUGCGCUGUGAGAGAGCUUUGCGUCCCAUUAGCUAGUUGGAGAGGUAACGGCUCACCAAGGCGAUGAUGGGUAGCCGGCCUGAGAGGGUGAACGGCCACAAGGGGACUGAGACACGGCCCUUACUCCUACGGGAGGCAGCAGUGGGGAAUAUUGGACAAUGGACCAAGAGUCUGAUCCAGCAAUUCUGUGUGCACGAUGAAGUUUUUCGGAAUGUAAAGUGCUUUCAGUUGGGAAGAAAAAAAUGACGGUACCAACAGAAGAAGUGACGGCUAAAUACGUG
rnacentral:rRNA from 1 species